UUGGUAGGACCAAGGGGCGCCAACCCCUUCGAUAGUGUAAGAGGGGCCCACCCCCUCUUGUGGCUAGGCAUAGAAGGAGAGAGAAAGAGGGGCGUAGCCAUGGAAGGAGAGAGAGAGAGGGACCACACCCCCUCUCUUGCAUGAAAAACCCUACAAUGGGGUGCCAAGGGUUGGUGCCCCAACCACCUACCUUUCUUGCUGAGGG
rnacentral:lncRNA from 1 species